rnacentral:rRNA from 1 species
GACGAACGCUGGCGGCGUGCCUAACACAUGCAAGUCGAGCGGAGAUUGCAGUAAUGUAAUCUUAGCGGCGGACGGGUGAGUAACGCGUGGGCAACCUACCUUUAUCUGGGGGAUAACACAGGGAAACUUGUGCUAAUACCGCAUAAAAUCAUAAGAAGACAUCUUCUAAUGAUCAAAGGAGUAAUCCGGAUAGAGAUGGGCCCGCGUCCGAUUAGCUAGUUGGUGGUGUAACGGACCACCAAGGCGACGAUCGGUAGCCGAACUGAGAGGUUGAUCGGCCACAUUGGGACUGAGACACGGCCCAGACUCCUACGGGAGGCAGCAGUGGGGAAUAUUGCGCAAUGGGGGAAACCCUGACGCAGCAACGCCGCGUGAAGGAUGAAGGUUUUCGGAUCGUAAACUUCUUUGAUGAGGGACGAAUAAAUGACGGUACCUCAAAAACAAGCCACGGCUAACUACGUGCCAGCCGCCGCGGUAA